AUGAACGCUGGCGGCGUGCCUAAUACAUGCAAGUCGAGCGAACGGACGAGCAGCUUGCUUCUCUGAUGUUAGCGGCGGACGGGUGAGUAACACGUGGAUAACCUACCUAUAAGACUGGGAUAACUUCGGGAAACCGUAGCUAAUACCGGAUAAUAUUUUGAACCGCAUGGUUCAAAAGUGAAAGACGGUCUUGCUGUCACUUAUAGAUGGAUCCGCGCUGCAUUAGCUAGUUGGUAAGGUAACGGCUUACCAAGGCAACGAUGCAUAGCCGACCUGAGAGGGUGAUCGGCCACACUGGAACUGAGACACGGUCCAGACUCCUACGGGAGGCAGCAGUAGGGAAUCUUCCGCAAUGGGCGAAAGCCUGACGGAGCAACGCCGCGUGAGUGAUGAAGGUCUUCGGAUCGUAAAACUCUGUUAUUAGGGAAGAACAUAUGUGUAAGUAACUGUGCACAUCUUGACGGUACCUAAUCAGAAAGCCACGGCUAACUACGUG
rnacentral:rRNA from 1 species